rnacentral:rRNA from 1 species
CAAUAGCGUAUAUUAAAGUUGUUGCAGUUAAAAAGCUCGUAGUUGAAUUUUUGCUUGCCGCCGAUGUCGGAACUUCCGUACGUUCGGCGGCGUGCAUCCUUGGGUGGAACCUGUGUGGCAUUAGGUUGUCGUGCAGGGGAUGCUCAUCGUUUACUGUGAAAAAAUUAGAGUGUUCAAAGCAGGCUUACGCCGUUGAAUAUAUUAGCAUGGAAUAAUAAGAUAGGACCUUGGUACUAUUUUGUUGGUUUGCGCACCGAGGUAAUGAUUAACAGGGACAGUUGGGGGUAUUCGUAUUCCAUUGUCAGAGGUGAAAUUCUUGGAUUUAUGAAAGACGAACUUCUGCGAANGNAUUUGUNAAGGAUGUUUNCAUUA